rnacentral:rRNA from 1 species
CCUACGGGUGGCAGCAGUAGGGAAUCUUUCACAAUGGGCGAAAGCCUGAUGGAGCAACGCCGCGUGCAGGAUGAAGGCCUUCUGGUUGUAAACUGCUUUUAUAAGCGAGAAAUAUGAUGGUAACUUAUGAAUAAGGAUCGUCUAACUACAUUCCAGCAGCCGCGGUCAUACGUAGGAUCCGAGCAUUAUCCGGAGUGACUGGGUGUAAAGAGGUGCGUAGGUGGCAUAAUAAGUAGCUAGUGAAAUCUGGGGGCUCAACCAUUCAGACUAUUAGCUAAACUGUUAAGCUCGAGACCGUUAGGGGUAACUGGAAUUUGUAGUGUAGGAGUGAAAUCCGUAGAUAUUAGAAGGAACACCAAUAGCGUAGGCAGGUUACUGGGACGGUUCUGACACUAAGGCACGAAAGCGUAGGGAGCGAAAGGGAUUAGAUACCCCAGUAGUC